GACGAACGCUGGCGGCGUGCCUAAUACAUGCAAGUAGAACGCUGAAGAGAGGAGCUUGCUCUUCUUGGAUGAGUUGCGAACGGGUGAGUAACGCGUAGGUAACCUGCCUUGUAGCGGGGGAUAACUAUUGGAAACGAUAGCUAAUACCGCAUAACAAUGGAUGACACAUGUCAUUUAUUUGAAAGGGGCAAUUGUUCCACUACAAGAUGGACCUGCGUUGUAUUAGCUAGUAGGUGAGGUAAUGGCUCACCUAGGCGACGAUACAUAGCCGACCUGAGAGGGUAAUCGCCAAAACUGGAACUGAGAACCGGCCAGAAUUCUUACGGGGGGCAGAGGAAGGGAAUCUUCGGCAAUGGGGCAAACCCUGACGGAGCAAGGCGGGGGGGUGGAGGAAGGUUUUCGAUCGUAAAGCUCUGUUGUAAGUCAAGAACGGGUGUGAGAGUGGAAAGUUCACACUGUGACGGUAGCUUACCAGAAAGGGACGGCUAACUACGUG
rnacentral:rRNA from 1 species